GAGUGCCCCAAGCGUUAUCCGGAUUUAUUGGGCGUAAAGCGCGAAUAGGUGGUUAGGUAAGUCUUUAGUGAAAGACCAGGGCUCAACUCUGGUAAUGCUUGAGAUACUGCCUGACUUGAGGCUGGGAGAGGCGAGUGGAAUUGCUGGUGAAGGGGUUAAAUCCGUUGAUAUCAGCAGGAACACCAAAGGCGAAGGCAACUCGCUAGAACAGUUCUGACACUAAUUUCACGAAAGCGUGGGGAGCGAAGAGGAUUAGAUACCCUCGUAGUCCACGCCGUAAACGAUGAAUGCUAGGCAUUGGUAGUAUCGACCCUAUCAGUGCCGUUCACAAAGCUAACGCGUUAAGCAUUCCGCCUGGGGAGUACGGCCGCAAGGCUA
rnacentral:rRNA from 1 species